AGAGUUUGAUCAUGGCUCAGGAUGAACGCUAGCGGCGUGGAUAAGGCAUGCAAGUCGAAUGGGUUUAGACCCAUGGCAAACGGGUUAGUAACACGUAGGUACGUACCUUUAUCUCGAGCAUAACCCGGAGAAAUCCGGAAUAAUACUCGAUAGUCCCUUUGGGGUAAAGAUUUAUCGGAUAAAGAGCGGCCUGCGGCCUAUCAGCUUGUUGGUGAGGUAAUGGCUCACCAAGGCUUUGACGGGUAGGGGACGUGAGAGCGUGACCCCCAACAAGGGCACUGAGAUACGGGCCUUACUCCUACGGGAGGCAGC
rnacentral:rRNA from 1 species